GACGAACGCUGGCGGCGUGCUUAACACAUGCAAGUCGAACGGAAAGGCCCUGCUUUUGUGGGGUGCUCGAGUGGCGAACGGGUGAGUAACACGUGAGUAACCUGCCCUUGACUUUGGGAUAACUUCAGGAAACUGGGGCUAAUACCGGAUAGGAGCUCCUGCUGCAUGGUGGGGGUUGGAAAGUUUCGGCGGUUGGGGAUGGACUCGCGGCUUAUCAGCUUGUUGGUGGGGUAGUGGCUUACCAAGGCUUUGACGGGUAGCCGGCCUGAGAGGGUGACCGGCCACAAUGGGAGAGUGUGGCGGGGUGGGCGCCAGCGGGAGGCAGGCGCGGCGAGUGGGGCACGAUGGGCGGAGGGCUGACGCAGGGGCGCGGCGUGGGGGAGGGGGGACUUCGGGUAGUGGACAGAUGGCGCCUGUGAAGAAGCGUGCGAGACGGUGAGGGAUAAGGAGGCAGCGGCUAACUAGAUC
rnacentral:rRNA from 1 species